CUGAGUGAGGGCCUUCGGGCUCGACCUCCAACCCUUUGUGAACACCAACUUGCUGCUUCGGGGGCGACCCUGCCGUUUCGACGGCGAGCGCCCCCGGAGACCAUCAAACACUGCAUCUUUGCGUCGGAGUUUAAGUAAAUUAAACA
rnacentral:misc_RNA from 1 species